rnacentral:lncRNA from 1 species
AAUAGUUUGCAUAUUAGUUACCAUUGAAUGCUUCAUUGGCAAGUUGUUUGAAUUCUUCAGCCUUUGAAAUAUCAGUUUUUUCAGUUUCCAUAUUGCACAAAUUUUAUGUAUAUGGCGAACAAAUUUGGAACAUAAGAAUCAAUAUUUUCACUUCAUUUCUGCGCAACUAAGACCUGAUUCAAUAAAACAGAGAAAAUGAAUAACUAUAUAACAAUACCAACCAGCAGAUGCUAUUUGAGUUCACAAGAAUAUUAUAGCACUUCACAGCAUGAUAAUGGAGAAAAACAAGAGUGGAAUGGUAUAUGCCAAAUAAUAAUAUUUAUGCAUAUCUUUCAUUUUCUGAAUUUAGUUAAAACUUGCAUCAAUCUCCCAAACAAGGGACAACCACCACUACCCCCAACCUCAAUGAUUAACUUUCAAUUCCAUAACAUGAUAAAAUUCCACCAACCUCACACUAAUAUCAUUUUAUCAUUCCCCACCCAUACACAAUACCCUCUCAAGCUACCUCUUCAUUGCUGUUUUGUUCCCCACCCACACACCCCCCUAAUUUCCCAAAAUCUACUGGACCAAAACAAUAAACUUUCCAACAGUAACUUAUAUUUAGAAAAAUAAUAAUAAUAAAAAUAAAUCCCUUUUUAACAUAAGGUUCUUACUUCUUAGGAGGAAAAUAAAUAACAGAAUAAAGAAAUGCUAAAAGGCACCCUUAGAUAGCUGCAACACAAACAAAGCCAACACCUUUUUUUUUCCUUUUGUUCAUUAUCAAUGAUAUUAUCUUAUCUAUCACAUGUAAACUAAGAUUCUCCACACGUUGAGGAAAUAAGAGGUACACAUGAAACAAAAAAAAAAUUCAAUAAAAAAAAUAAAGUAGUGAUUAAUAGAAGGUGUGGAAGGUAAGGUUCCAAUCAAGUAGUGGAAAAAGAGGACCUAGUUAUGGCUUCAAUUGCAGCACACGUGAAGAAGAAGAAAGUGUUUUAUAGUUACCGGCGUGUGGGUUGGGUUCAGAGCAGUCGGAAAAGGAAAUCUGAGAGGAAAGAGAACACUGACCAACGAGAGAGAGAGACUCUGUU